UACGUAGGGUGCAAGCGUUGUCCGGAAUUAUUGGGCGUAAAGAGCUCGUAGGCGGUCUGUCGCGUCGGCUGUGAAAACCCGAGGCUCAACCUCGGGCCUGCAGUCGAUACGGGCAAACUAGAGUACUGCAGGGGAGACUGGAAUUCCUGGUGUAGCGGUGAAAUGCGCAGAUAUCAGGAGGAACGCCGGUGGCGAAGGCGGGUCUCUGGGCCGAUACUGACGCUGAGGAGCGAAAGCGUGGGGAGCGAACAGG
rnacentral:rRNA from 1 species